GACAGAGGGUGCAAACGUUGCUCGGAAUCACUGGGCGUAAAGGGCGUGUAGGCGGGAAGGCAAGUCAGAUGUGAAAGCCCCAGGCUCAACCUGGGAACUGCAUUUGAAACUGCUUUUCUUGAGUAUCGGAGAGGAAAGUGGAAUACCUGGUGUAGAGGUGAAAUUCGUAGAUAUCAGGUGGAACACCAGUGGCGAAGGCGGCUUUCUGGACGAUAACUGACGCUGAGACGCGAAAGCGUGGGGAGCAAACAGG
rnacentral:rRNA from 1 species